UUUGGAAUUUCUGAACUUCUCUUGCAGCCGCUUGGUAGAUAACUCCCUAAUACCGUGGGAAUUAGGGAGUUAUCUACCAAGCGGCUGCAAGAGAAGUUCAGAAAUUCCGAA